rnacentral:rRNA from 1 species
GAUGAACGCUGGCGGCGUGCCUAAUACAUGCAAGUCGAGCGAAUGGAUUAAGAGCUUGCUCUUAUGAAGUUAGCGGCGGACGGGUGAGUAACACGUGGGUGACCUGCCCAUAAGACUGGGAUAACUCCGGGAAACCGGGGCUAAUACCGGAUAACAUUUUGAACCGCAUGGUUCGAAAUUGAAAGGCGGCUUCGGCUGUCACUUAUGGAUGGACCCGCGUCGCAUUAGCUAGUUGGUGAGGUAACGGCUCACCAAGGCAACGAUGCGUAGCCGACCGGAGGGGGUGAUCGGCCACACUGGGACUGAGACACGGCCCAGACUCCUACGGGAGGCAGCAGUAGGGAAGCUUCCGCAAUGGACGAAAGUCUGACGGAGCAACGCCGCGUGAGUGAUGAAGGCUUUCGGGUCGUAAAACUCUGUUGUUAGGGAAGAACAAGUGCUAGUUGAAUAAGCUGGCACCUUGACGGUACCUAACCAGAAAGCCACGGCUAACUACGUGCCAGCCGCCGCGGUAA